ACAGUCUAUUAGAGUUCUGAGUAACAUAAAAAUUGUAGGGUCCCCGUCACACUCCUCGCCCCUCUUUACCCUUCCCCACGCACGUCUUGAAUAAUUCGAAACAAAUCGCACAUGCGAACCUGCACCACGUUAUCAUUUACACGUAGCACAUAUGGCAUCGACAAGGAUUCGCGUGUGACUAUGUAAAUUGUACAAUGGACAAUUAUCUAAUUACGUAAUUUCGUAUUCCUCCUUCGGUAUAAGAAAGUCCAACGAAAUAGUACGAAAAUCGAGCGCGGACGUCGCCCUUAGCGUCUAGUUUCAUAUUUCGUCCCACAGGUGUCGCCCCGUGAAAUCAUGUAAAAUAGAUCACAGCGCCAUAGAAAUUCUCACGUCUCGUUAGCCGCAAAUUCAUCUCGGAUAACCUCAGUCCCGUAAGAGAAUAUGUCAUCUAGGUGCAAGUGCCCAGCCGCGGAAUCAGCCUAAACGUAUUGUGAGAAAAAGUGGCGCCAGUACCGCGCACGACACACAUAACACGCCGGGCGUUUUUGCGAGGAACCGGGCCGGCGGAACGAUCGGACUACGACAAAAAGUCAAAUAGCUAGCGGGAGAACGCGUCGCACGUCGUCCACCGGGAGGUAAGGAAGACGAAGGAACGAGACCAAGAAGCUCGUAGAGGAAGGAGGGGCCUCUGCCCCCCCUAUUGCAUACGCGGUGACAAAAACUUGUCGCGCUGCGGUUAUAACGCGUUGUCGCGCGGCACGCGACAUCCUGGCGUACGUCCUCGUGCUCCUUGUGUCACGAUUCUACACCUAGCUCCGAUUUUUUCCCCUCUAUCUACGUCCUAACGAACAUAGAAUAAAUUAACGCCGCAGGUUUGUGUCUUGCUGUUGGUCGGGGAGGUACGUGAAUGAGGUGGAAAAAAAUUAAGUAAAAAAAAAAAAAGAGUAAUUUAAAGAAUGGCUGGUUAAUUCGCUCCGGUGGCUCUCGCGUCUGAGGCGUUUAGAGCCUGCCGUUCUUAAUUAACCAUAAUUGUCUUGCUGGGAUGCGCAAAAACCUUAAGGUUUUCAUUAUAAUAUGCCUUCGUAACUAUGCACGUAUAAAUCAGUCUUGUAUCUCUCUCUGUGUCUGUAUAUACAUAUAUAUGCUUUUAUGACACGCAUAUAACUACCUUUGUAUACUCUGUCACUCUUCUUUUUUCUUUCCAACGAGCAUUACCCACCUUACGAUAUUACAUAUCCGUAUAUUUAAAUAUUACACGCAUGCGCUUUAGCUCCACAGAUUUCUUAUCCGUUUUACCAAGAAGCCUCCCUUAUGGACAUGGGGAAAGAAAAACUCAACCGUCUCUCUACCGGUUUACCAUUUUUCUUUUCUGUGUCAAGUGCCACGUGUAAUUAUAUCACAUGGACGUUUCUACGUACGCAGGCCACACAUGGUCCCACCUUCGCAGGAUCAGCCACGUUGACGUUAACGUCCGUCGUGAGUUCUCAGAACGACGUGACGUUUUUCAUCUCUGCCAUUUUGUCAGAAGAUAAAAAGAAUUGGGCACGCGACGGCUACGGUCCCAUGAGAAUACUUCGUUUCUUCUUCUUCGUCGUGCCAGGAGGACGUGGUUGGUGGCAUUCUCAACCCGGUGAUCCGGUAUGUUAGAACUCUCGUUGAUGCACUUGGAAAAGAAGAAGGAACCACAUUCCAAUUGAAGUAAACAUUUAAAGAGUUAAAUGCCGUCCUGACCUGGAUUCAAUUUCGUCCAGCUGGCUGAGACGAUAUUUUACAAUCGCCGGUGGGGAGCGUUGAAGUAUUGCCGGAUAAUGACGGUUGAACAAUGGCGACAAAUUGGUCCUGUCAAAUUGGUCGACGUGCGACAAUAUCGUGAAUGGCGUCGUUUAACUUCGUGAAACCGUUAACUGUACUAUUGCGUGUGAUUGCCUGUACUUUUGUAUAUACGUGUAGUACGUGCAUACGUAUAUGCUUACAUGUAGGUAAGAGUGGCUAUACGUUGCCAAAGUAAGGUUAAUUGUAACCUCGUGAAACGACUCAGGGCGACAAAGAAUUCGUGAGAGGAAAUAAGUAUGAGAAUAUUAUUGGGGGCGUGUAGAGAAUAGAGAGAACGAAUGAAAGAAUGCUGAGAAAUGAAUUUAUAAUUGAAAGACUAAUUGCUGUUGGGAUAGACAGAUCCAACGAAUUUAAUCAAAGAACUUCUUCAGACCUGUUUCAUCGACUUACUGAACACUGACGAGUGAGACAGUGCACGUAGUGACGUGGCCAUUCAAAUUAUUAAUUGUGUAAUAAGCUAUUGGCUCUUAUCGAAGAGUUCGAUCGACAAUGAAUGAGCGUGACCUCUUCCCUCGUUAGAUAAAACUUCAGCCAGCUGUCAGUUUGUCAAGGGAGAGUAAAGUGAAAAAGAAAUGAUUGACGUACUGAGAGAUUGACGGCGGGUAUACGUCGAGCAAUCUAAUCAUUGAGUAAACACGAUACAGACCCCAAUGUGGUGGUUUACGUAGAAACCCAAAAAAAAAAGAGCUUGGCAAUCUCCUCUCGACAGGAAUUACAUAUAAGAUUGUCAUACCGUAUAAGAAUCUUAAUAAAAGUAUACGAAGUCAAAGAUCACGUCGAAUCGCCCUGAGCUAAGAACGUAAACGUUAUGAAGUAGUUAAUAAAAACAAGAUUAAGCGAAAGAAAAAAAAUUGGAUUUUAUACAUUCAACAAUGAGUUCCAAUUGAUACGCAUCGAAUCGACGCCCGAGCGAAGCGUCAUUGAACUUCAUGUGGACGAUGCCUAAGAGAGAUACAUAUAAGACCAGACCGUUUCCAUUGAUUCGCAUAGUUUGGUAUACGAGGCGAUUAGAUAGUAGAUACAAAAGAGAAUAACAAAGAAGAAUGAGAAGGAAAAAAAGAGAAACGUGUAACACACAUGAGUAUUGGCGCGUGAUUCGAUAAGACGAGUUAAACAGACAGCCAAAAGACGCUUUUGGCAUUGAUAAUUCAUUGAGAAAUUGUUGUCAUGGUAGAAAAAAAAGUUUUGCUGUAAUCGUAAGAUUGAUAUAAAAUAAAAAUAAUUAUGUAGAUUGACAAUCUUAAUUCCGAGUAGUGGAGGUGGACCGGUUUUGGAAUUGCUUUGCUCGAGAGUCCAUCGGACAACAGGGUUUUCUUUACGGAAUGAGUAUGGGCUUGAGCCAAUGGGCCCAGCACUACGUACCACGCAAUGACCAUACAUAUAUGUUAUAAGCAGUGCUUUCGGUAUGGCGAUUGGUCCAGAAGGUACACGUAGCGAUGAACCGUCUCGAUAAAUUGGUCUAUGGUGGCCCCAUGCUAUCUACCCGUAGCCAUCUCGUUCACGAAGCAUGAGUAGUGGUCAGAGAUAGGAGCGCCAAGCGGGCACGACGAGAACUACGUGUACUUGGGGUUCCAGUUAUCGGCACGGUCCCAUCUAAAUUGCUUCUCAUUUUCUCCGAUCGUCUAUCCCUGCGAGUUCCACGAGGAAGAAUGAGAAGGAGACUUUUUAAGUUUCGUAUUAAAAGAAAAAAGUAGCGUUGGUUCUCCCUAUAAGAAAAUACUACUAUACUGUACGUUGCGCAUGCGCACAAGAGGGUAAAGAAGAAAAAUUACGUGUUAAGGAGAUUGAGUGAAAGAGGUUAAAACGUUUCUUGGCUAAUUGCCAAGAGAUCACGUUUACCCCAUAUGUACGCUCGUGUCUGCAGGAUAUUAUAAUCGUAGCAGGAUAGUCAAUUUGUUGGCGAGUUUUCAUGGAUCGUGAAGCUGAGAAACUGUUCGGAUUUAUCUGUAUGUGGAUACGAGGGUGGACGGCACCGUACGUUCCCCGUACAGCGCCGCCUUGGCCAACCUCGGUAGGAUGCGACAUUCAAUGCAAAUACCUUGGGACCCGCUCUGCAGCUUGUCACUGUCCGUAGCUAGGACCAAUAAGAACCACUUUUGCCUUUUGCUUAAGCACGGAUUACACGGGACGAUCGAGAUACGGUCUAGAAGGAGAAGACAGUUUACCUUCAUCGUCUUACUUUUAUAGAAUUUCAGGCUUACGAAGAAUUUUUCGAUAAAUCCAAUGGGUAGGAGAAUUCCAAAAAAAAAGAUCACGCCACUCUGAGUCCACUAAGACGUGACAGAUCUGGCUGAAGAGAUUAAAAUUGAUUUUUUAACGAAUUUUAAUUUCUAUAAUACCAAAGUAUGUGACAGCUGUGUGUAUGGCAUAACAGACCUCCGAGUUGUAUUCACGUUGUAAAUUCGCCUUUUUUACGGUCUGUUAUUAUGAUUCGUUAGAAAAGACUGGGAAUAUUCCUAGAAACCCUCCUUUAUGCCGUCGCUGAGCGUCGGAACGCUGGUUGGGGCCUUUUUGCUCGGUGCUGGAGCCACUGCUAAUCCAUAUGCAGGCCCGGAAAGUCGAGGACGAACAAAGAGAGCCGGCUGUCUCGUUUAAGUCCCGGGAUAGCCGCAGAGUCCUCGUGUUCGGCUUUGGGGUAUUCGUUGUCUCGGAGGUUAAGUCACGAGCCGAUAUAAAGGUACGCCUCGAGAAAGUUACCUAAUUAAUUGAGCACACCCCGAGCGCAGAGAGAAGGAUUCGUUUUAGGUUUGCCGAAGCAUAAAGAGAGAUAAAUUUCACAAAGAGACGGAACAACACGUAAAGACCGACCCGUACGCCAUGCAAAUCCAAGCCGAAUACUACAGCGCCACCACAGAGAAACCUUGUAGGAUUUGAAAUACCAAAGACAGUUUCAGGAUAGAAUUCAACUAGAUGAAAAAUUUCUUCAAGAUUUCAAUAACUCGAUAGUUAAUCGAAAACAAUAUUCAUAAAAUCCCACUGUACAUUCUAGCUGGCAUGAAAGACGUUAAAUUCAAUUUUAAUGAAACUCGUAACGAAGCAUCCCAAGUAACGACUGGUGCGCAUGCGCAGUUACAUAACCGCCAACGAGGAAGCCAAUUGAAAGCGAGAAAAAGUAUAUUUCUGAAAAUACGACGUCCAAGGAUUAUAAACCGCGUGACUAUCAACGGGACUUUUCAAUCGCCCCCUUAAUACACGUGAUGAAGAGCAAAAAGGUCCAUGCAAAUCGCAGCAUCCAGCGGCAUCCUCAAAAACUUCAAACAUGAACUUGGAUGCCCCGUGGAAUGCGGCUUGCGGCCGUAGCGUCGUGGGACGUUCGUUUAUGUUGUUGCCUUCGCGGCGUUAUUGUUACGUUCUGCAAGAGGAGCCUGUAUGUGCGCCGUAGUAUAAGAGAAUAGCAGUCGGCCAGUGCUACAACAGUACGAACUAUACCCAACAACCAUUUACUCUACCCACGAGAAGAGAUCCCUUGGGAUAACUAUACCAGGAUACCGCUCUCCCCGUUAACCACUCUUCACGGUCAAAAGAAUACAACAAAUAGAAUCUCUCUACUGACACAUAGGCAAUAUUCGCCAGUCCUCGAGCACAGCGAUGACCCUUGGCUUACGUCAAUUAUCUCCAAAUUGAACUCACGUUGACCGCGUGACAUUGAUACAGCCACCAGAUCAGACCACAUGUCGAAAUCUGCAAACCAGAUCAGUAUGAAAAUUCGCAAAACAUCCAGACCAGAACUUCGUCGAUAAUGGCGAACGUAAUGACUGCCCCAAUUUCCACCCUCCCCCAUAAUCCAAACCACGAGGCGAAACUUGGCUCCCAAAAGUCUCGUAACUCACGGCUGGGCUCCCUGGUGAAUACUUGGCAAGGGAAAGAACGUAGAUACACGUGAGGAAGGAAAGAAAGGUGGUUAGGAAGUCGCUGUUUAAUUCAGAGAUGCUAAUCUAACCUAACCUGACCAUCUUCGAGCAUAAGUUAUCGGGAGCAUAAACAUGGGGCAUCGUAUUAGCAUAAAGUAGUCUGGUUAGGUCGGGACUGCUUUGCGAAGUAUAGGUUAGGUUGGGUUAGGCUAGGUCGCAUCCACAAGGUACAAGAGGAUGGCGCAGUACAUUUCUAAGAUGCGUACGGUCGUCGCGCUAGUAAAGGAUGAACCAUUGUGUUAAGCUAUAUUUUAAGGUUAUACCGGCUACGUUUCUCUCUGCGUCUUUUAAUCAUUGGUCGUCCCUAUGUAUCCUCUUCGUCCUACCCAUAAGGCAACACUCGUCCACGUUUGACGUAAUUUAUUUUAUUUCAAACUCAGCUUUGAAUUUCCCGCCAUAAAGUGCACAUGCCGCGUCAUAGGAAACUCGAGUCGCUGGCCCGAACGACCAAUUCGCUUCUCCUGCGUUUGAAUGGAGAUUUCUAAUACAUAUUAAUAGAACCUUAACGUUCUGACAUUUAGUUACCCAGGUUGGUAAAUACUUCACUAAAAUUUCCGGCCUGCACCGUACAUAAGUCAAGUACAGUGUACAUAUAAUACACCCAUAAGAACACAAAGAGGCAUGAACCGUUACGUUCAAUGAGCCUGAGUAUAUAAACCAUAAUGAAAUAUUGUAAUAGUCAGGUCAUAAUGGUUAAUUAAUUAAAGCAACGUGUGCUGUUCGCAAUAAUUAUAGCAUUGUUCUAACGAUUUUAAUCCAUUUCCCCCCCUCUCACCCUUUAUAGUCUCUCACCGUUAAGAUCGAUCAACCAAGGAAACGUGACUAGACAAUAUCUCGACUAUGAUUUAUUCCAUGCUCAAUUAGUUCCUCGGAACAGGUUAAGCUCGGUAAUUACAACGACCGCCAACAAGUGAAGAUAAAUUUUAAAAAAUUCUUCUCAGCUCCCACAAAUACCAUACGCGUAUACGUACGGUCGUGCACCGGGGUCUGAUAUAUUAAUAUAUUCAGACAAUACCAUGUCAGACCCCACGCAACUAAUCGUGCGCAUACAUAAGUCCGACCUGACGCAAGUCACUCAGGUCCAGCUCUGAAGUCUGCGUACACCAAGAUCAAUCCAAAUCAUCCUGC